rnacentral:lncRNA from 1 species
GCAUAUAGAGGGAAAUAAGGAGUGAAGCUCAAAUCAAUCUAAAAAGUAAACCUUCAUAUUAUUAAGAUUUCAAAGACUACGUAGUUACAGAUAUCAAAUUAAUUUAAAAAAUAAACCUUCAUAAAGACUAAAGAGGGGAAUCGUUGUGAAAAAUUGAAAAUCACAGGUAUUGAGCUAAACUCAUCCAAAAGAAGAUCGAUGUUGCCGUCGCCGUGACUCACUACAUCUACAAGCGCGGCUGUGAAUUGAUCAAGAUCGGUGUGCCGAUCAAGCUUGUCCAGUCAAAAAUCUUCCGCUACAAAGCCUUCGAGCCAAUAAGACCUCCUCGAUCGCCACCGUUUCGUCGGCGUCUACAUAAGGAUCCUCAUAGAUCUACGCCAUUCGACAUCCGCCAGAGUGUUUCAAAGACAGUCUCGUGUUCUACCAAAAAUAUGAGCAACAGAAGAAGGAGAUUUAAGAAGGUGUGAGCAGAAGAAGAAGGAGAUCGGAGGAGGAGGCGAAGAUCUGAGGUGCUUGUGAUUAGGCACUAGUGGAAGUCUGAGUCUGGG